CCCCAGCAUGCAGAGUUCCAGAUUUCAGUGUUUUUGGAUCUUUAUAGUGAGUGAUUCAGGGGUCAAUGAUUUCUCCCCACCAUGUUGAUCUUCCAGAAGGCUGUUGCAUUGCUUGUGAAGAAAGGGAGAGGCCUCCAGCAGCCAACCUCAGAGAGGAAAAUUUCGGAGACUUUGCAAGUAACUGAGUGACUGAAACCGUUCCCGGUUUUACUGCUGUUACAGCCUGGCAGGGAAGGCGAAGAUCGAGGCCGGGCGCCUCGCUGAGCUGUGAGUGUGGCCAUUUGUCGGGUAGUUCGGCUGUUGCAGCUGCUGUUUUGAACGUCACUUAGGUCUGGUGCUGUGCUGGGGCACCUUGGCAGCAACAUGAGCAUCUCCUGUUGUGUAUUCGUGAGUUGGACCCUAGCCUAUAGUCUGGCUGCCACAUGCUCCAGGCAUUCAGUGGUGGGAAGACACCAUCUUGGAAGCCUUUGUGUUUAGGAUUUUAAAAUGCUGGACACUGCUUCAGCUUUAUCUGCAGAGUCAUCAGAUAAAUAUGCCAGAUGAAGAGUUUGUGAUGGAGAACACUUGCUGGAUCAAAACCAAGAAGGAAAGGAUUGUCUUCUUAUCACAUUGCUGUAACUUUUACUCUUCAAUCUUGUGCUGAAUUAAUAGCAGAAACAAUUUCCUCAAGUACCAGCACAGGAAUGCCAUUUGUGGCUUUAUUUCAAGAAGCAAAUGGAUGGGCCUCCCCGGUGGCGCAGCGAUGGAGCGCUGGGUUGCGAAGCUGCCCGCAGCCUCUGCAACGCCGGUUUGAUCCCUGGCCAACGGGUGAGGGUCCCACAUGGCGCGCAGACCUCUCCUGCCGCCCGCUGCUCCCCUCAGCAGUGUGUUUCGUUCAGCCUGCCUGCUCUGCUCUACUCUCUGCUACUCUGACUCUGAUGAAUUCUCUCACCCUCCCGCGCUUCUGAC